rnacentral:RNase_P_RNA from 1 species
AGCAGACUGUGCAGCCGCGGCAGCGCUUUUUUAGCUGACGAGGAAAGUCCGGGCAUCACAGAGCAGGGUAACUGCUAACGGCAGCCGGGGGUGACCCCAGGGCCAGUGCAACAGAAAUGAGACUGCUCCGCGCCUUCGGUGCGGUGCGAUGGUGGAAAGGCGGGGUAAGAGCCCACCAGAGAAUGCGAGAGCAUUCUGCUGUGUAAACCCUACCCGAUGCAACGCUGAUUGGUGUGCCAGGUCAUAACGUCUGCUCGGCGGAUCUGACACAAAGGCGGCUUGAGCGCUCCGGCGACAGAGCGCCUAGAUAAAUGGCUGCACCCGUUAUCCUUGCCUUGCGGCCGGAUAACAGGACAGAACCCGGCUUACAGGUCUGGUC